UAGGGAAUUUUCGACAAUGGGGGAAACCCUGAACGAGCAAUGCCGCGUGAGUGAAGAAGGAUUUCGGUCUGUAAAGCUCUGUUGUAAAGGAAGAACGACCACAAUAGGGAAUGAUUGUGGAGUGACGGUACUUUACCAGAAAGCCACGGCUAACUACGUGCCAGCAGCCGCGGUAAUACGUAGGUGGCAAGCGUUAUCCGGAAUUAUUGGGCGUAAAGGGAGCGUAGGCGGUUUUUUAAGUCUGGGGUGAAAGGCAGUGGCUCAACCACUGAAUGGCCUUGGAAACUGGAAGUCUAGAGUGCAGAAGAGGAUCGUGGAAUUCCAUGUGUAGCGGUGAAAUGCGUAGAUAUAUGGAGGAACACCAGUGGCGAAGGCGACGAUCUGGGCUGCAGCUGACGCUCAGUCCCGAAAGCGUGGGGAGCAAAUA
rnacentral:rRNA from 1 species